AUGAAUUGCUUAGGUUCCUCCUCGGAAUGAAACAAAUUCCGACAUUUAAUAUGACACGAUAUUCCCAACUUCAGAAGCACAAGAAUUGGUCCCCAAAAUAUACGAGAAAAGUCAUAAGCUUCCUCUUGUAGACGUCUUCUCUACCAAGCCACCUGAUGAGCAGUAUGUCGCCCCACCCUUGGAAAGAUAAUCUCCCACCUCAUAAGUAAGACAUCAAACUGAUUUGAUACCAAAACCAUCUUGCACCCUUCUAGUAGGCUUGCCUGAACCUUAGAGUCGAUCCCUGAGUUAGAGCAUGAGCGUUUAAACUGCUCUCUUCUGGAGAACCCGAAGAGCCUGCACCGAGUUGAGCUUUGAUACGAAUUCCUUUCGCUUUCACCACUACCGGCUAACAAAGUAGUGCUAAAUGAACCUUCUUUAACCAUUAAAGAAGAAAGGUAUGGAAUUCUCAUUUGCCACUAUCUCAUUAUUGUCACUAAUCAAUGAGGCUAAACUAAUGAACCCCACAGCAUCUAUUCCCCGGGUCAUGCCUGUCGGGCCAUGAUGCCUUCACAUCUAUAAGCAAACCUGGCGCUCCUGUUCAGCUGCUACAACUCACAUUGCUUAUCCAGUCACAGAUAUUAGAUGAAGACCAUCAUACUCUCAUGGCUUCUCCUUGUCCUAUUAUUCCAGUCUCCCUGGUGCUCAGCCAUCAAAAUGACUCUUCCAGAAGGGAGUGGACCUCAUCAACUGCCACAGCUACCACAAGGCCAACGGCUUCAAGGCCCGAACAAGACCACCGAGUUGAGCGAAGUCAGGAGAGGGGGAGAGUGUGAGGACUCGGGUACUUGGAGGAAGGAGAGCCACAAAGGAGAGGGUGGCGCAGCUGGUGGUGCAGCUGCCGGGAGAAGUCCUGGCACUGCAAAUUCCGAUCGUGGGGCACAACAUGGACAUCACAGUGCUGCACCGCAGAUGCAAGUGCUAUAUACUUCCCACCUAUCCGCCAACCCUAGUAUUUGGUUGAUCCUUGUACUUCUUUUCUUCUAUUAAUUUCUCAGGGUUUACAUCCAUUUAUCAUCGAAAGUGUGGUGUUCCAAAUUGCAUUCUAUGAUGAUGACUGCUGUUAGAUUGCAAUCUAUAUAUAGUGAUGAUCAUCUCAUGUAUCUUUCAUUGUCAGUAAACAACAGAAUGUACUUAAUUUCAUUUUCCUUGUUGAUAUGAACCUUGUAGAAAAAAUAACAGUCUAAAGAAGAGAUGGGUGGCUUCUAGCUAGGUGGAAAACUUGCAUAAAAUUCAGACUACUUUCGUGUUCAGCAAAACAAAAACAUUCAAGUAGAUUGAGAGUUGGCUCUGCAUUAAGCAAUAACUUGGCCCCAAACUUUUUCAGCACAAGAUUUCAUAGAUAUGAGAUUCGAUCUUCUAAUUUCUUUAACUAAUGCACUCAUGCAUCAUUAAUUAGUGGAAGGAGUCAUUCAUGCAUCUUUGGAAGCUCUUGGCUCAAUAAAGCUGCAGGAAACGAAGUCAGUGAUGCCCACAUGUGUUAUUUAUUUAUCUAUCAAGCAGAAGUGUCCGUGGAUUUUAGUUAUACCAGUGGUGCUUCCGAAGGUACCCCUGAGGUCCGUUGUUUGCAGAUCAUAUGGUGUAAUUUUAUGAGAUAAGAACUGGUUGAAUAAUAUGUCCAAGUGUCGAAGAUUGGGGCCAGAAAAUGAAUAGAAUGUGCUGUGCAAUUUCAGGAGGAACAAACAAAAGCAAGAAGCAUGUUUUGCUAAUUGAUAAGAAAUUCCUAUACCAAAUAUUUGUGUCUAUUAUUAUUUAUAAAACAAUACAUGGGCCAAACAGUGAAAGAUAUUUAGAACAAAGUGGAUGAAGAGGAGGGGUUUCUUGGGCAACUGCAAUCAUCCCAUGGGCAUGAGACUGAAGGGAAGUCUCAUACAAUAAAGAUGUAGCCAACAGUCAUGCACAGGUUGAAAUAAAUGAAGUACCGUUAAGUGCUAAAGCAAUGAAAUGAUAACGAUAAAACCAGAUUGUGCUUAAGCAGUUACAAGAUCUAAUCAAACCAAGAGCAGAUUCCCACCACCUUCUAGUAAAAUCAUCUUUUUGGUUAAAGUAAAAUGACUCAUAAGCAAUGACUUGAAAUAGUCUCAUCAUUACUAAGCAAGCUUUAUCCUAUCAAACUUUUUCUCAACUUUAUCAAUAGAUUAUGUUCCGGAGUUUCAGAAACAGCUGAUGAUCGGCUCUCAUACUGAUAGCAGUCCUUAAUUAUAAAUUGAUGUUAAAUUCCAAGCCAAGACAAUCUGAGAAAUCAAGUGGCCCCUUAUAUACCUAGAGGAUAAGGUCAGAAUUAAAAAGAAACCUGCAUUUUCUUGAAAUAUUAAACAGUUUGACAGACUUGGUUACAGGGGUGAAUGAUCAUGGGUGAUGAAGAAGAUUUCACUUGACUCACAGAAUGAAGUAAGCCCUUGCCAACUUCUAAUCAACCACCAAGAACCCUCUUCUUUGACGCAAGAGAUCUAUGCUUUCAGCACAUUUGUAUCGAAAAUAGAUCAAAUAGUGGCAAGCAUAACAUACAUGAUUCAUAUCCUAUCUAAAGUAAUAUGUUGUUCCAGAAAGAUGAAAAUGGAUUAAUUUAAGGAAUUAUAUUGCACUAAGUAAACUUUCACUAGGUACAAUAUUUUGAUAUCUAUAGGCAAGAACUCCCCUGUAUCUGUACCUGUUAAACUGAAAAUAGUGAUUAGCAGUUUGCACAGAUACAAUCAGCUGAUUUUAAUUUAUGGUGCUGUAAUUAGCCAUUGUCUAUUUGGAUGUAAUUAUGGAAGAAGCUGGCGUGCUGCAUCCAGACUCAUCACUCACAGGAAUGUGGUUAUCAAGUUCAACAUUGUCUUUUUAGCAUAUAAAUUUGCAUUCAUGAUCAUCUAAAUGCAACACCAGUGGGUACUGUGAUUGGUAAAAAGAAGCCUGAGACUCAACUAUUCAUGAAUUAAGGUUGAUGAAUUGUUUAUGGUUCUACUUUGGUGUGAAACAUAUUCUGGCGUUGAAAGUGGGCAAGGAACUCAAGCUCCAAAAGACUGGAUCAGUCUCGAAGCUUGUCCUAAUUAUUCAAAUCUCUUUGGAGUUUGCCUAUUGGAAGUGCCUUUGUGCCGAAGGGCAGAUUUCACCGAUUGUCACAACUACCAUGAUGCACACAGCCCCAAGUUAUAUUGAGGUGUCUGUAGGCCUAAAUAAGUCGAAAGAGUCGGGCAAAUUUGAAACGAGAGAGGAUGAAAGUGAAGAGUUGGAUGCUAAAAGGAAAGACGAGCCAUGAAGAAGAGGGUGGGGCAGCUGGUACUGGAGGAGGCAAAGGAGGGAGAAGCCCAGGUGGGACAAGAUCUGAGGUCCAUCAUUGGUCACCAUCAGGACAUUGUGGUGCUGCAGCUUGGAUGCAAGUGCUAUAUAUUGUUCUUCCAUCCAACAUUCUUAGCAUUUGGUUGAUCCUUCUAUUGACCUCUGGAGAUUUAUGGCUUUUAACAUUAAGAUGUGUUUUGCCUCAUAUUGUAAUAGCUAUGCUGAUUGGCUUAUAACCCUAUAAAAAUCAAUGUAUGAAAUCUCUGUAAUGAAUCUACCAUGCUAGUAUUGCUUGUUGCCCUGAACCAUUAAGUAACUCUGUUCUCCCCCUUGUUCAUAAAUUCCAGUCUAAGUUUACUCAAGAAAACAGGCCGUCAAAUUUAUGAAUUUCAAUAAGGAUAAUAUUUGAACAAAUUUAAAUUUGGCCCUGCAUGUGAUAACUUUUACCAUUUUGUUCAGAGGAAAACAGGACACAGGGCAUGAUUAUUGAAUUGUUCUAAUGAGAAUGGGCCUUUCCUCUUUCCUUUCUACCUGGAUUUGGAGAUAACUUUAUGAGAUCAUAAUUGUCUUUUUCUCUCAAAAAUUAGUAUUGGAUUAAUGAGCUCACAUAUCACCAGCAGUGCGCCUUAAGGCUUGGGAGUGCUAGGUUCAAUAAAAUUGCAGGAAAUGAUGUCAAUAACACCGAAGUGUGUUAAAAUAAUCUAUCUGCAAAGCAGAAGCUACGCAGCUAUUUACUUUCAAAAAUGGUGUUUCUGAAGGAAGCCCUAAGGUCUAUGCAGUCUGACUCAUGUAAUGUUAAUUUGAUGAGACAAAAAGAAGUCAAUAAUAUAUCAAAAAGAGCUUGGGAAGAAAAUAAAUAGAGUAGUAUAUGCAAUGUAAUACUAGAGGAGCACAAAUAAAAAUGAGAACCAUGUCAUGCUUAUUGGACAAGCUAUGCCUCAAAGUGACCAUUUGCAUGCUAUCACUCUCUAACACACAUACAUGGGCCAAUUUAUUGAGUAAAUUUAGAACUAAGUGAUAUAUAGUGGCGAGUUUCUGGGGCAUUCUACGACCAUCUUAUGCCCUCAAGAAUGAAGGGGAAUCUUACAAAAUAACAAAAAGCUAACAAUAAUUCUCAAGCUGAAUUAUAUGUGAAGUAUUGAAGGUGCUAAGACACCGAUGCCAUGAAACCAUAUCACCCUAAAAGCCAAGAGGAUUUCCAAAUUUAAUUGAGCCAAAGGCAGAUUAGGAAAAGGUAAUGAAUUCUAUCUCCAUGCUGAGAGCGGAACAAGCAUGAUGGAGGUGCAGCUAGUUCCUUUUUCUCAAAUAGAGGGAAAAGCUUAUGACCAGUUCUGAAAACUGACAUCAACCCGACCCCAACUAAUUUAGAAUUCCAAGCCCAGACAGCUUUGGGCAUACAAGGUCCCAUCACACCUAGAGGACACAAGGUGACAUGAUCCAAGACAUACCUUCUCUAAAAAUAAUUAGUUUAGCAAACUCGGUGUCCAAUGUGAUCUUACAGGGUGAUUCCUUCAGGGCAAUCAGCAAAGAAAUGUAUGAAAAAGCAACCCCCUUGCCAUUAACCACCAAGAACUGUCAUAAUUGAUGGCCAAAAGUAGAUCAAACAUAACAAGCAUAAAGAUACAUAAUUCAGGUCCAAACAUAAACUAGAUUCAUAUAUUUUUCAAGAAAGCCGAUGGUGGAUUAAGUUCAGUGAACUAGAUGGCACCAAGUAAAAUUUCACUUGCUACAUGUUUUGGUGUUCACUACACAUUACACAAGAACUCCCCUGUUUCUAUAGUCUAGAACAUUAUGUCACAUGGUCAUGGUCAGUGGUUCGCAUGAUGAUAUAGUAAUCAAGUAAUUUUAGUUUGAUCAAAGGUGAUUUGCUUUUAGAUGGUCGAAGAUACCGGCAUAGCUGUUGACGUAGGAUCACUUAAUUUUUCUCAAAAAGAGAUGACGAUCACUUAAUCCAAUGACAAAACAUUGUGUACUCAAAGCGAGGUCGGGGCUAUCAUUUGCUCAUGAAGAUUUUGCCUGAAUUUUAUGCGAACAUAAGAAUGUAUUCUUGCACUCACCUCUUGCUCUUUCCUAAAAGAGAUGGGUAAUUUGGUUCCUUUGGGACAUUUAAUAUAAAUUAAAAGUGCUAUCAAGCAAAAACCUUCAUAAAGACUCUCUAAAAGAUUAAUAUAAUACAUUACAGUUUUGUUUUCGCUUUCCUUUCAUUGGAAUUUGGAAACAUUUUUCAUGGGUAAUUUCGGAAAGGCGAGGAUCUUUUUGGGCAAAUCUCGGGAGAAAGGAGGGCACUUUUUUUUACCUCAGCAAACAGGCGACUCGUACUCUUGGCGGAGCGCUUCCUCCCAUCGGCUUCGGCUCCCUCCUCUCCGCUGCUCCCAUCGACUAGGGGCCGGAAGGGGGAUAGGUGGGGAGUCGCAAAUGCGGAACACCGCACGUGAAGUUUGAACUAGAGCCGGCAAACCAAAUGCCGGGACUGGCGACAUGGGAAUUUUACAUGAAACUUCCUAGAUAAAUCAAACAAUACAAACUAGUCGUGCUUGAACUAGUCUCGGAAGAUGCAGCGCCGGUACCAGCUCAAACUUUGCAUGGAUUUUGCAUGAAACACCCUAGCGAAAUCGAAUGUAAUACGCUAGUAGUUUUAACUUGGAAUUAAACUAGUCCCGGUACACUGAUUGCCGGUACUAGCUCAAGUUUAGAUGAGAAGAUGCCCAAGUCAAAUAUUAUGAGUUGGUAAGUCAAAGUUGAACAGGUCCCGGUGUAUGGAUUGCCGGGAUUAGUCCAAACAAAAAGAUUAACGUUACACAGCAACUCUUCGUAUCCAACGGUGCUACGGGAAAGGGCUUGUUUGUAUAGAAUUACAAAGUGGUAGACUUGGUAUGAAAUUUCGUGGCCACACGUACCUAUGAACCUGUGUGGGAGCUUCCACUCUCGGCACCUUUGACAACUCCAAUCUUAAUUGAAUGCACCCCUUCUUGUUCUCUUCUUGAUGCAAGAAAAAGAACAACUGCAAGAACUAUAUUUUGCAUCCUCAGAGUGUUUUGUGAAGUUAAUGAAUUGAUAGAAAAAAUUCUAAUGAAAGGAAACGGCCCUAUAUACUUCCUUGCGCAUAGAUCAUUUUUGCCCCAUGCUAUUGAGUAUGAUAUUAAGUUGAUCCCAAAUGCUGUAAUUGCAGUCUUUGUACUCUCUUCUUGUAAGCUAAUCAUAUCUGUAAAAUUUCUCCCUUCUUUCAGUUUUCUUGUAUCCACUCUUUCUCCUAUACCAAUUCACCUUUCUAAUAUUUGUAUUGGAUUGACUUUGAACCUUUGUUUUCUGAAUUAUGUUGGUCAAGCUUUGCUCCCUCCAGUCAAAAAAAAAAA